GUGCGGGUUCCGAGCGGCUGCGGGCGGCCUGGGCUUCCGGGGCCAACGCCUGGGUGGCUGCCGCUGCCGCGCCCGCUGCGAGAUGGCGAUCUGGGGCGCGGAUGGGUGAGCGCGCCGCCUCAGGAGGAGGUGCCGCCGCCGUGGCCGCCCGGCUGCCGGGAGCCGCCAGCUUCGCGCCGGUGAUCCCAGGAACUGUCUUGCUGCAGCAGUAAAUUGUAUGCCUCCAUGAAAACCCAAAAGGACAAGAUUAGGAGAGCUUUGAGAUUGCUGAACAUGCGGAGAUGCCUGAAGCAUGGCGCACCUGAAGUAGGUAUGAAAGCUCCAUGCCCUUUCCUACAUACCUUGCCCUGUGUACCUCUUCGACUGGCUGUUCAUUUAUAUCCUUUUUAAUAUCCUUUGUUAUAAACCAGUGAAUGUGGUUCCUUGAGCUCCCUGAGCAGUCCUAGCAAAUUAAUCAAACCCAGGGAGGGGUCAUGGGAAACCUGCUUUAUAGCUGGUCAGUCAGAAGCACAGGUCACAACCUGGGACUUGUAACGGACAUCUGAGACUGACAUCUGAAGUGGGGGCAGUUAUCUGGGAUUGAGCCUUUCACCAGUGGGAUCUGGUGCUAACUUCAGAUAGAUAGGGUCAAAAUGAGACUGAAUUACAUGAUACUUGGUUGGUGUCCACUGGAGAAUUUCUUGGUGUGUGGAGAAAAAUCCACACACCCAUUUUGUUUGUUUGUCUGUCUGCAUGUAUGUAUUUUUAAGGCUAGCCAAGUGAAGCAGUGGGAUUGGAGAAGGAACAAAGGAAUCUAUAACUGGUUGUGAUCAUUUAUUUGUAAACACCACUGCAGUUGGACAAGCCCACACACCUGUUUUGAUACCUGAGAUACAGUGUUCUGUGCUGAGUAUUGUAUUGAUGAGAGUUAGGUUUCUCCUCUGUCUAACAUUACCCUUUAAAAAGCAUUUUAUUUUACAGGGAAAUGAAUUUGGAGAACUCGUAGUUAAAAACAAUUGGCCCCUGAUAUGGAAUAACUUCCACGGCACACUUUCGCUCCAAGAGUAAGAACUCAGUCUGGCAUUGUUCAUUUUGAAUCUACUCUUUAAAUACAUGUAGAAAUAUGUUUUAUUACAGGAGCAGGAGAUAUGACUGUCCUUGGAACUGUUCGAACAAUUAUGUGUGGUAUGAACUUUUGAAGUAAAACAAUCCCUGACUUAACGGUAUUUUCAGUGGUACAAAUGUAUAUGCAUUCAAUGUAAACCGUGCUUCAAAUUUUGAAUUUUAAACUUUUUCUGGGCUAGCAGUCUGUGGUGUGAUACUCUCUUGUGAUGUGAUGCUGGGCAGAGGCAGUAGCUGCAGCUCCCGGUCAGCUACUCCAUCCUGAGGGUAAACAACCAACACUCUACAGCGCACUCUGUUGUCAGUGUUCUUGGAUAUUUUAUUUUGUGUUUUUACAUCCCGUCAUGUCUACAAAAUGCUCAUCUGUGUAUCGUAUUCAACACUUUAUUAUAAAAUAGGCUUUGUGUUGGAUGAUUUUGCACAACUGUGGGCUAAUGUAAGUGUUCUGAGCCCAUGUAAGGUAGGUUAGAGUAAGCUAUGAUAUUCAGUAGGUUAAGUGUAUUAAAGACAUUUUCAACUUAAGCUGUUUUCAGCUUACAAAGAGUCUGUUGGGAUGUAGCCCCAUUGUAAGUUGAGGAGCAUCUGUAUAAUAGAAAUUUAUGUUGAAUUUUUUUUGUAAAGAUUUUUAGUGGAAAGCAAAGAGUUCAUGACUACCAUGUCAAAAGCACAGGCAAUAAAAAUAGAUAAAUGGUACAUAAUUAAACCAAAAAGCUUCUGCAUAGUGAACAAAAUAAUCAACAAAGUGAAUAGACAACCUGCAGAAUUGGAGAAAUAUUUGCAACGUAUGCAUCCAACAGGUGAGUAAUGUCCAGAAUUUAUAAGGAACUCAAACAACAAGAACAACAAAUCCCAUUAAAAAGUGGGCUAAGGACAUGAAUAG